AAUCAAACAAAAUCCAAUACCUUCCACCUCAAGCUUUCACGUCGGGUUCACCACUUUUAUCGUAUUACGUGCUUUCCUGCUCGAGAACGUGCCAGGCGCUUGGCUGUAGAAGGUAGUAUGGAGAUUUGCCAAUAGUCAAGCAGUCUAUCAGUUUUUGACUGUUGGAAUAUAAACAAUUGCAAGAAUACACCGUAAAUCUAUAUGGAUGCCCUUCGAUUGCUUGCCAAAGUCCUUUUUGUCCCAGCCGGUAGGUCUCUAGAGGUUACAGAGAACCCCGAACAAUCCAAACUGCUAAACUUCGAUACCGCUUUAUACUCACGAUCUUGUAUCCACUGACUGUCUCGUUAGAUUAAUCCAAUAAAUUUCAUUCACUCCGCAUA
rnacentral:lncRNA from 1 species